UAAUAUAUGAAAAGUUAGGAGCUAUGUGCUCGAUAAUUGAGCGAAUUCUAGUAUAACAAAAAGAACUAGGUGGAAUUAUGCAAGAGUGAAUUUUAGAAAUAAAACAAUGUUGGACAGCAGCAGUUACAUGAUUUUAAAAAUUUACCAAAAAUCGUGGAAGUUGAAUAAAAAUGCAAAUGAUAUAUGAAAAUAAAGCUUAAUGAGUCUAUUUUCACAUAAAAGAAUCAGGGGAAGCAAAAGAAUUCUAUAUUGUGUGAUAUUUGAAUUCUUGUGAAACAGGGUCUGAAUGAAUUUGAGAUCCCCUAUUUUGACUUUAUAAAUUCACC
rnacentral:lncRNA from 1 species